rnacentral:sRNA from 1 species
ACCGGUUUGUUCUGUU